rnacentral:rRNA from 1 species
GACGAACGCUGGCGGCGUGCUUAACACAUGCAAGUCGAACGGUAAGGCCCUUCGGGGUACACGAGUGGCGAGCGGGUGAGUAACACGUGGGUGAUCUGCCCUGCACUUCGGGAUAAGCCUGGGAAACUGGGUCUAAUACCGGAUAGGACCACUGCCUGCAUGGGUGGUGGUGGAAAGCUUUUGCGGUGUGGGAUGGGCCCGCGGCCUAGCAGCUUGUUGGUGGGGUGAUGGCCUACCAAGGCGACGACGGGUAGCCGGCCUGAGAGGGUGACCGGCCACACUGGGACUGAGAUACGGCCCAGACUCCUACGGGAGGCAGCAGUGGGGAAUAUUGCACAAUGGGCGCAAGCCUGAUGCAGCGACGCCGCGUGAGGGAUGACGGCCUUCGGGUUGUAAACCUCUUUCAGCACCGACGAAGCGCAAGUGACGGUAGGUGCAGAAGAAGGACCGGCCAACUACGUGCCAGCCGCCGCCGUAA